rnacentral:rRNA from 1 species
UUCCCUACGGGGGGCAGCAGUGGGGAAUCUUCCGCAAUGGGCGCAAGCCUGACGGAGCAAUGCCGCGUGAACGAAGAAGGUCUUCGGAUUGUAAAGUUCUGUCCUUAUCGAAGAGAGGGUAUAGAGUGAAAAAUGAUAUACUAGGACGGUAGAUGAGGAGGAAGCCCCGGCUAACUACGUGCCAGCAGCCGCGGUAAUACGUAGGGGGCGAGCGUUAUCCGGAUUCAUUGGGCGUAAAGCGCGCGUAGGCGGCCUGUUAGGUCGGGGGUCAAAUACCGGGGCUCAACCCCGGUCCGCCCCCGAUG